GACGAACCGUGCAAACGUUAUUCGGAAUCACUGGGCUAAAAGGGCGCGUAGGCGGGUCGUCAAGUCAGGGGUGAAAUCCCGCGGCUCAACCGCGGAAGUGCCUUUGAUACUGACGGCCUCGAGGGAGGUAGGGGCGUGUGGAACUUCCGGUGGAGCGGUGAAAUGCGUAGAUAUCGGAAGGAACGCCGGUGGCGAAAGCGACGCGCUGGACCUCUUCUGACGCUGAGGCGCGAAAGCCAGGGGAGCAAACGGG
rnacentral:rRNA from 1 species